CAACACUCUUUAAAAGGAUCAGGACACUUAUUGUAGCUCUGAAUAACUUUUUACAAACCUUCAAUUCCUUUACUUAAUCUCCUAACACCUUAUAAUCUUGGUUUUGUGGCAUUGGAUUCCCUUAUAACAGGUUCCAACUCUCUUUAAAAGGAUCGGGACACAUUCCUCCUUGUAUGCUUUUUUUCUUUUCUCUCAUUCUCUUCCUUCCUUUUCUCUCCUCCUCCUCCUCCUCUUCCUCUUCCUUCCCUCACACAUUUGUCUUUUUUUCUUCCUCUUCCUCUACAAUGUCUUCCUUCCUUCCUUCCUUCUUCUUCUUCCUCUUCCUUUCCUCAUAUAUUGAUCUUCUUCUCUCUCUUCCUCUACUGUCUUCCUUCCUUCCUUCCUUCCUUCUUCCUCCUCCUCCUCUUCCUUUCCUCACAUAUUUCCUUUUUUUUCUUCCUCUUCCUCUACAAUGCCUUCCUUCCUUCCUUUCCUCUUCUCUCCUCCUCUUCCUCUUCCUCACAUAUUAAUCUUCUUUUCUUCUCUCUCUUCCUCCUCCUCCUCUUUCUUCUCUGUCUUCUUUUCUUCCCAUUUCUUCCAACAUUCACAAGAGCAGGCUAGACCACUUCUAAAUAUAUAUAUCUUUGUAUUUAUUCCUAUCUACUAUAUAUAUAAUAAUUCUCUCUCUAUCUAUCUCUAUCUCCCUCCUUUAUUCUUUCUAUCUCUCUCUCCCUUUCUUCUUUAUUUGGCUGGAAUCUAUUAUUAUUAUUGUUAUUAUUAUUAUUUUUAUUAUUAUUGUGUCUAUCUAUUUGUCUAUUCUCUUGGAAAUGCGACUGAGAUUGUUAAGUUGGAAAAAUAAAUAAAGAAAUAAAUGGAAAAAAAUAAAAAAUAAAUAAAAAGAUGAUUUGCAUAUAUUUCUACCUGUGUGUGUGUGUGUGUGUGUGUGUGUGUGUGUGUGUGUGUGUAUAUGA